GACGAACGCUGGCGGCGUGCUUAACACAUGCAAGUCGAGCGGUAAGGCCCUUUCGGGGGUACACGAGCGGCGAACGGGUGAGUAACACGUGGGUGACCUGCCCUCAGCUCUGGGAUAAGCCUGGGAAACUGGGUCUAAUACCGGAUAUGACUCCAUGACGCAUGUUGUGGGGUGGAAAGCCUUGUGCGGCUGAGGAUGGGCCCGCGGCCUAUCAGCUUGUUGGUGGGGNGAUGGCCUACCAAGGCGACGACGGGUAGCCGGCCUGAGAGGGCGACCGGCCACACUGGGACUGAGACACGGCCCAGACUCCUACGGGAGGCAGCAGUGGGGAAUAUUGGACAAUGGGGCAACCCUGAUCCAGCCAUGCCGCGUGAGUGAUGAAGGCC
rnacentral:rRNA from 1 species